GUGGGUGUAGCUCAGUGGUAGAGUGUGCGCUUAGCAAGCACAAGGUCCUGGGAUCGAUCCCCGGUCCUUCCA
rnacentral:tRNA from 1 species